rnacentral:lncRNA from 1 species
AUUUAUUUUCAUACCUCUUCAAAGGUAUUGUUAGCUUUCUUUCCUGUUUAAUUUUUUCCUACAUAGUCACUUUUCUCCUGUAAGAUUUUUAUUUCUUCCAUUUUAUUUUGCUCUUCCUGUGGUAUUUUCUCACCUUGACUGUCUGCUUAUAUUUACAAAGGAAGAACUCCACGUUCGUAUCAUGGACUGUGCUGAAGAGUAGUGCUGGUGUGUACUUUGGGCUUGGUAAACACCGAUCUCAGGGCCCUACCGCCAAUGUUUCUGACUCGAGGUGAGAUGACCUAGUGAGCCCCCAGCUUCACCAAGGAGACCAAAAGUCCAAGACAACAUGAAGAGAGUGGUGAGCUACGUCAGCGCUGGCCUCUUUUCUACCCCAAGAGGAGGUAGGUGAUAAAAGAAUGCAAUACAUAC